AGGAGGCGUGAAGAGGGGUGGGGCACAGGGGUCUGCAUCCUCUGCUGUCAGCUUCUCCCCCAACCCCACGGAGAGAAAGUGCAUGACCACCACCAUGACCGCCCGCUCCAUGGGCUACGAAGGAAGAUCCAGUGGAAACUCAUCUCCGGAAUACACAAGGAGAGCAUAUGCUGCAGCAAGUGCAGCUGCCAGUACACCCACCAGAGGGCGGAGCCACAGUA